CCGCAUCACCAUGGUCUCGCCCCGCGUUCGCCGUUGACCUGCCCCACCCUCAUUCCGGCCGCGUCCCGUGUGCUCGCCAGCGACGGAGGUGUCCCCGAUCUGCACCUGGAGCGAAGAGGGAUAGCUGCAGCCACAGGUGAUGCCGUCGCCGGGAACGGCUCCUCGUCGUUGUUGACGGGGAGAAUGGAGAAGCAGCCGGCAGUGGUGCUGGCGAACGCGCUGGACGGGAAGGUGCCGCCGUGCGGUCACCUCGAGCAGCCAUCGUUUCCUGCCGGUGGAGAGCUCCUCCAUGGCAGCAUCAACCGGAUCUGGCCAGACCACAUCCAUGCUCCUCCUUCGCGGCUUGUGCAGACUUGCAUACGGCGAUGGUUUCCAUGGAGCCGAGAAAGCAUCACGUCUGAAGAUCCAAGCUAAGAAACUCGGGAAAUCAAGUUGGUGAAUAACAGGACAUACGAUCAGUUUCUUCACACAGAAGAACAGUUACAUGCAUGAUGAGGCAGUGAGUUCAAACAAGACGGAGCAGUGUCAAUGGUCACACGCACUGAUGGAGAUCGAGGUGUCUACCUUCCUAUUGACGAUCCCAUAAUUCAUCCACUAACUGAUGGGUAAGAUAUGUAUUUUGUUCAAAUGAUCUUCAUUAUUUUGCAGCAUGUAAUGCAUUUGUAGGGAUAACCCUUUUUCUUAUUUAUUUUUUCCCUGUGCUUUCUGAAGAUCAGAUUUCGGCCCGUACAAUUUCCAGUGACUGGAAGUCUGAAACUGAAGAUCACAUUGCUUUGGUUCUGAUUUCCAGUGUGUGUAUUGGUACUAAUGCAUUGCCCAAGUAUUUAUUACUAUCAUUGUACAUUGAGUGUAUGAUUCUCAAUUAUGAUGGUCUGUGAUAUUCAAACAAGUUGCUAGGUAGCGGUAGACUUCCUCCAUGGCAUGCCUUUGUUUCUAAAAGCAGGUCAAGACCAUCCUUUUUUAUAGGUUAAAUUUAUUUAUUUGUUCCUUGCUUGGCAAAAGGCAUUGGCGAAGGAUGGGGUUUUUAUAAUUUAUUUAUGCAUCUCUUUUCAACUUUUCAUUCAUGUCUGGUUUUCUAAUUGGUUGUAGGUGGUAAGAAUUGCAUCCGCGUGCAGAGUUAUUGAAAUAUUUGCCACCUAAUCUAAGUUAUAUUUAUGCAAUUCAGUUUGGUUACUUACAAACUGGGAAUAAGUUCUUAGUUAUAUAGCUCAGCUAAAAAAUGCAAAGCCCCCAUAAGAUUGAAGUACUAUAUGGUCAUGUUCGACAUUUUCAGGUAUGUCACUACCUCUACGGCUAUAGAGCUAUUCAGAAGAACAUAUACAUGAGGAAAAUAUAGUAACAUGUAUUUGGCCUGCCAUUUGUUUUUGUUGGCCUAAUUUACCAAUCAAAUUAUAUUUCCUUACUGAUCUUCUUUUUGUAGGUAUUUCCGGCAUACUAUGAUGAAUUGAGCUAAAGAAUUAGGACAGACUGUAUGGUGCAUCUAUUCAUUCCAUGGACAUUCAUCGCCUACUACUCAUGCACCAAGUCAGAAGGAAAGCAAGUUUGUAUCCUAUAAGUUCCACGCUCGAGAUAACUUUUAUCUCUACUCCUAUAAAAAAAUUAUUUGAUGAUGAUGGUGUGUCUGUCAUCAGUCAUUUCUGACCAUUAGAUCUGCACAGUGGCGUACCUAGGGGUGUGUCGGGUGUGCCAUGGCACAUCCAAAAUUUAGUUUUUUUACCGUUUAGUAAUAAUUAGGUGAUUUUCAAGGCCCAUCUAAACCAGUUGUAAGAGACCUCAAUUUUUUAAAGUGUGCACACCCUUUAUUUUAUUUCUGCGUCCGCCACUGGAUCUGUAUCUAACGACUGUGAAGUAAGUUGUGGCCCUUUUGCAACAAUAGCCCACUUCUCUGCUCCAAUUUGCAAAAAAAACCUUAAUAUCUUGAAACCAACCACAUCCCUCCCUCACAUCAUCAAAACAGCCCCAGGAAUAUAUUUUGAGUGAAACAUAAUAUAUUUUUUGUGAUAUAUGUUCAUCAAAACUGGAGUGUUUUCUUUUGAGUUUGUUAACAAGUAUUAUUCUACUUUGAAUCCGUUGCAACGCACAUGCAAAUUUCUAGUAACAAUCUAAAUAUUACCCGUGAUAUCCUUGACACAAUGUUGGUUUUAGAUGCACACCUUUAUCAAGCUAGAUUUGUUGCGUGUGCAUUGCAUGUUGAUGUAAAUUGGGCUUCACUAAUUUUGUGUUUGUCCAUUAUUUUCGAAGUCUGCCCUGAUGUACAUGGUUAGCAGUCAGGGAAACUAGAUAUAGUUGAUGUUUGAUUAUAGUUACUUAAUGGUGUGUUUACCCUUUUGCAAACUUUUACAUACUCAUCUAAAUUUGAGAUUUGAGCCAGUAGAGACAACACAUCGUGAUCUUUUAACCUUGCAUUCCGUGUCAUCCCCCAUGGUCCAGCAGUCCGUGUCGUUGUCCUCGUGCCUCGAUGUGUGGUGCUGAAGAGAAGAACGAUGGCCUCUGCCACUGCCAUGAUAGACGGCGCAUGCAGGUGGCUGCAGGGGGGAGGUGCGACAGAGGGGGCUUGUGCAGGGGGGGCGGCGAUGCGCGGCGGGGCGACAGAAGC